rnacentral:rRNA from 2 species
AUUGCCUCAGUAACGGCGAGUGAAGCGGCAAGAGCUCAAAUUUGAAAGCUGGCCCCUUCGGGGUCCGCAUUGUAAUUUGCAGAGGAUGCUUCGGGAGCGGCCCCCAUCUAAGUGCCCUGGAACGGGCCGUCAUAGAGGGUGAGAAUCCCGUCUGGGAUGGGGUGCCCGCGCCCGUGUGAAGCUCCUUCGACGAGUCGAGUUGUUUGGGAAUGCAGCUCUAAAUGGGUGGUAAAUUUCAUCUAAAGCUAAAUACUGGCCGGAGACCGAUAGCGCACAAGUAGAGUGAUCGAAAGAUGAAAAGCACUUUGAAAAGAGAGUUAAACAGCACGUGAAAUUGUUGAAAGGGAAGCGCUUGCGACCAGACUCGCUCGCGGGGUUCAGCCGGCCUUCGGGCCGGUGUACUUCCCCGCGGGCGGGCCAGCGUCGGUUUGGGCGGCCGGUCAAAGGCCCUCGGAAUGUAACGCCCCCCGGGGCGUCUUAUAGCCGAGGGUGCCAUGCGGCCAGCCCGGACCGAGGAACGCGCUUCGGCUCGGACGCUGGCAUAAUGGUCGUAAGCGACCCGUCUUGAAACACGGACCCCUGUGUGAAAU